AUAUUGUGCUGGUCCCUUAGAUUUUUUGGAUCUGGACCGCAGGGGUUAGAUUCAUCACUGAGAUCAUAUCUGGCCUCUGUGCUUCAAUCCCUGUUUCAGUCGUGACCAAUGUAUUGGUUCUUUUCUCACAGUGAAAUAAGAACUAGGGAUUUCUAUUACAACCAGAAUGUAGUAAAGGCAUGGAAUCUCUUGUAGAAUUAUUUUGAACUUGGUUGAAAACUGAAAUUGACGAAGAAGGAAAAAAAAUGGAAGAAAUUGAAAGAAAAAGAGGCCAGGAUCCUAAACAAAUCAGAACAAAAAAAAAGAAAGGUUGCCCCAGCUGCCAGCCAGCAAAUGCCCAGAAGCAGAGUUGCCCAGUUGAUCUAAGGAUGACUACAGAUGACUGAGAUGGGAGCCCAACUAAGACCAGACAAACUACCCAGCUGAGCCCAGUGUCAACUCCAAUUCACAGAACCAGGAGCUAAAUAAAUGGAAUUUUGGAGUGGUUUGGUACCCGGGACUUGCCAACUGAAAGCAAUGAGAUGCUAUUUGAAUAACAUGUAUUUAGAAAUUAUUAGAAGGAUAUAGAGAUAACUAAUAGAUGCACUGGAAAAGAGGAUCCCAAAUCUGAAGGCAAUAACAACUAGAGCAGGUCUGGAUGGGACGAGAUAUAGGUAGCAUGAGCUAAUAAGCAUUUUAUUCUGGGCUCCUCUAAACUUUAUGUCAUUCCACUCAAGAUGAAACUUCAUAAAGAGAACAGCUACUGAGCCUAGCUUAGAUCUCUUGCCUACUGCUUGGCUAGGGGAAAGUAUGGAGUACUUUCAUUGUUAAUCCCAAAAGGAUUGGACUAAGAAUAGAAAGAAUAGUUUCCAAAUGCAAAAUUAGGGUUAGAGAAGGAAGGAUGGACAUCAGACAGGCCAAAACAACAGAUUUCUACACCAUCUGGUUUCAGUUAACUGUGUCCUUACCCCAAUUCUCUUCAAUAUUUGUGAGAUAUAAGAUCACUCCUGUGUUCCUAUGAGGAUGUGGCUACUUAGCUCCAUUACUUCUGGAUAUUAGGAGGUUCUCAGAGCUGGGCACUUUGUAAUGAAUUAGAUUGUUUAAUGGUGCAGUGUAACUGGAGUGAUACAUAGUGGGGUUCAUCAACCACAAAAGAAAACUAAUCUUGUUCCUCCAGAGUCAACUUAGUAUGGCAAGUCCAAACUCCUUAGAUAAAACUUACUGGAUCAAUAAUGAGUGUCAGAUCUUUUAUGCAGCCAAACACAACUCACUCAUCUGAUAAAAUAUAGAAGGAAAGAAGUCCAGUCUACUCACAGAACUUCAUAAAAUUAUAGGAACUUUAAAAUUAUGUUCUCAGUUUUCUCCAAAUACAUACGGGUCAUACUACUCUUCCAACAAAUCUGAUGCCAAUGACAAUGCUUGACUUGGGAUGGCUGAAUAAAAACAACCGAAGAAUUCCUAGAAUUUUAAAUUUUAAAUAAAUAUUCUCCCUGACUGACCAUCUUGUAUAAAGGGUAUAAGCAGACACCUGUUUUGGUUUUUAUUUUUUUUUUCUUUGUGCCACAUAUCUUCCCUUUGAGAACUCCUGUUCCUCUUUUCCACAUGAUUUCCAUGAAACUUUUGGUCAAGAGGCCUAACUAACCUUUCCUGCUGCAGAAGCAGGUCAUGGCCCAGGCUAGCAAGUCAGAGCAUCUUAUCCCCCUGAGCAUAUGAGCUAAGCAACACCAGAGGUGUCCUUUUAGAGGAUUAAUGUGAAUGCCAGGAAAUAAAUUUUCUCCUUCUGAAGCCACACCUUAUAUUAGCCUGGUGUUUCGAAGUCUGUAUUUUCUACUAUGUUGAAGAAACUUAUUAAGCAAUGAGGCUGGCAAAGAAGAAAUGAGAGCCAAGAAAGAGAGAAUUGCUUGAGGACUACAUCCACCCUUGACUGAAGCCCACAAACCUCCUGGACUUCCAAUACAUAAUUCUUCCUCUAUUCUUUUUCUUAAAUUAGCUUUUGUUGGAUUACUGCCAUUUUUAAAAGUCUCCAGGGAUGUAGUUGUAUUGAACCUUCUUAUCUCUAUUCAGAAACCUAGAAGAACUUUCUAGUCCACCUUAAAAUGUUUCAUCCUACAACAAAUAUAUGAAGACAUGAGACUCAAAGAAAUGCAAAUGGUUUGGCUGAGAUCACCUAGUUAGUACAAAGCCACUUCUACAGCUUUGCUCUCCUAUCAUCCUGCUCUGUCUAAUCAUGCUCUCAUUUGUACCUCUCAAUACUUAAUUGCACCCUUCUUCAUACUGAUUUAAAAAUAAAAUACACACUUGUC
rnacentral:lncRNA from 10 species